CGUGUAGGCGGUUUGGUAAGUCUGAUGUGAAAGCCCCGGGCUCAACCUGGGAAGUGCAUUGGAAACUGUCAGACUUGAAUACGGGAGAGGGUAGUGGAAUUCCUGGUGUAGGAGUGAAAUCCGUAGAUAUCAGGAGGAACACCGGUGGCGAAGGCGGCUGCCUGGACCGAUAUUGACGCUGAGACGCGAAAGCGUGGGUAGCAAACAGGAUUAGAUACCCUGGUAGUCCACGCCGUAAACGAUGAGUACUAGGUGUUGCGGGUAUUGACCCCUGCAGUGCCGCAGCUAACGCAUUAAGUACUCCGCCUGGGAAGUGCGGUCGCAAGACUAAA
rnacentral:rRNA from 1 species